rnacentral:rRNA from 1 species
GUAGGUGGCAAGCGUUGUCCGGAAUUAUUGGGCGUAAAGCGCGCGCAGGCGGUCCUUUAAGUCUGAUGUGAAAGCCCACGGCUCAACCGUGGAGGGUCAUUGGAAACUGGGGGACUUGAGUACAAAGAGGAAAGCGGAAUUCCAAGUGUAGCGGUGAAAUGCGUAGAGAUUUGGAGGAACACCAGUGGCGAAGGCGGCUUUCUGGUCUGUAACUGACGCUGAGGCGCGAAAGCGUGGGGAGCAAACAGGAUUAGAUACCCUGGUAGUCCACGCCGUAAACGAUGAGUGCUAAGUGUUAGGGGGUUUCCCGCCCCCCUUAGUGCUGCAGCUAACGCAUUAAGCACUCCGCCUGGGGGAGUACGGCCGCAAGGCUG